AUUUGUCUUGUCCACGAGCACAGCAGGAAGAGAUGUUCAACCGUUUCUCUCUCAUAAUGGCAUAAUGGGCACAUUGGAUCAGGUAGUUGAUCUAUCACUGGCUCAAAAUUUCUAGGGCCUUGGGACUGAUACAACUCUUUGAAGAAUUUCACGGAGUUUCAGGAACCACCUCUUCUGUAUUUGCUGUUAUUGUCAAUUCAUUGUAAAACACUUUCCAGAAUGGGCUAUGAUCAGAAGUUUCUGCUUUCAACCAGCCUCCAAAGCACCCUCCCAGCUCAGUGGUGAAUUUUCCUUCAUUAUAAGAUAUGGGUGAGCCGAUCCACUGCUUCUUCCUCCCCCGCCAUGGCCUCUGAAGAUCCGGUUCACUACCCCCGAUCUGAAAGAAGAACUCCAGUAGGGUUUAUUUGAAACUCACGAUCACUACCCCGGAUCUAGACAAAGAACCCCUGGAAUGCGAGAAGAAGAACGCGAGCGAUGCUCUCUCAAAGACGAACGCCUGGAUUUCGGUGGGACCUGCCACUAGUGUUUGUUGACUGAAGAAAUUCCCCAAUCCAGAAGCGAACCCCUGGGAGGUGAAAUGGAGAGAUGUGGGAUGAAGGCAUCGCUUGGGUUCAAUGAAAUGCCUUUUGGGUUAACACCACUUGAAUGAAACAGUGGAGAACCAUUUGUAAUAUGGGAACGAGAAUGAUCUUAUGGUGGGUG